rnacentral:rRNA from 1 species
CAGCCGCCGCGGUAAUACGUAGGGUGCAAGCGUUAAUCGGAAUUACUGGGCGUAAAGCGUGCGCAGGCGGUUCGCUAAGACAGAUGUGAAAUCCCGGGGCUUAACUUGGGAACUGCAUUUGUGACUGGCGGGCUAGAGUAUGGCAGAGGGGGGUAGAAUUCCACGUGUAGCAGUGAAAUGCGUAGAGAUGUGGAGGAAUACCGAUGGCGAAGGCAGCCCCCUGGGCCAAUACUGACGCUCAUGCACGAAAGCGUGGGGAGCAAACAGGAUUAGAUACCCCCGUAGUCCCUGUCUCUUAUAC